ACGGUCCUAAGGUAGCGAAAUUCCUUGUCAGGUAAGUUCUGACCCGCACGAAAGGCGUAAUGAUUUGGGCGCUGUCUCGACAAUGUACUCGGCGAAAUUGUAGUACUAGUGAAGAUGCUAGUUACCUGCGACAAGACAGAAAGACCCCAUGGAGCUUUACUGUAGUUUGAUACUGGGUUUCGAUAAUUUAUGUACAGGAUAGGUGGGAGACAGAGAAGCAUAUGCGUCAGCGUAUGUGGAGUCACCCUUGGGAUACCACCCUUAGAUUAUUGAAAUUCUAACCUGUGGUCGUAAACCGGCCAGGGGACAAUGUCAGACGGGCAGUUUGACUGGGGCGGUCGCCUCCAAAAGAGUAACGGAGGCGCGCAAAGGUUUCCUCAGCGCGGACAGAAAUCGCGCGAAAGAGUGCAAAGGCAGAAGGAAGCUUAACUGAGAGACUGACAAGUCGACCAGAUACGAAAGUAGGUCUUAGUGAUCCGGCGGUAGUGAGUGGAAAUGCCGUCGCUCAACGGAUAAAAGUUACCCUGGGGAUAACAGGCUUAUCUCCCCCAAGAGUUCACAUCGACGGGGAGGUUUGGCACCUCGAUGUCGGCUCAUCACAUCCUGGAGCGGAAGUACGUUCCAAGGGUUGGGCUGUUCGCCCAUUAAAGUGGUACGCGAGCUGGGUUCAGAACGUCGUGAGACAGUUCGGUCCUUAUCUGUCGCAGGCGCAGGAUAUUUGAGGGGAGUUGACCUUAGUACGAGAGGACCAGGUUGAACUUACCAAUGGUGCACCAGUUGUCAUACCAAUGGCACAGCUGGGUAGCUAAGUAGGGAAGGGAUAAACGCUGAAAGCAUCUAAGUGUGAAGCCCACCCCAAGAUAAGAUAUCCCAUACCGUAAGGUAGUAAGAUUCCAUAAAGACUAUAUGGUGAUAGGUUGGAGGUGUAAGUGCAGUAAUGUAUUAAGCUGACCAAUACUAAUAAAUCGAGGGCUUAACCAC
rnacentral:rRNA from 1 species